AUUGAACGCUGGCGGCAGGCCUAACACAUGCAAGUCGAACGGUAACAGGAAGAAGCUUGCUUCUUUGCUGACGAGUGGCGGACGGGUGAGUAAUGUCUGGGAAACUGCCUGAUGGAGGGGGAUAACUACUGGAAACGGUAGCUAAUACCGCAUAACGUCGCAAGACCAAAGAGGGGGACCUUCGGGCCUCUUGCCAUCGGAUGUGCCCAGAUGGGAUUAGCUAGUAGGUGGGGUAACGGCUCACCUAGGCGACGAUCCCUAGCUGGUCUGAGAGGAUGACAGCCACACUGGGAACGGAGACACGGCCCGACUCCCUACGGGGGGCAGCGGUGGGGAAUUUGGCACAAUGGGGGCAAGCCGAAUGCAGCCAGGCGGCGUGAAGGAGGAAGGCCUUGGGGUGUUAAGUACUUUCAGCGGGGAGGAAGGGAGUAAAGUUAAUACCUUUGCUCAUUGACGUUACCCGCAGAAGAAGCACCGGCUAACUCCGUG
rnacentral:rRNA from 1 species